rnacentral:rRNA from 2 species
AUUGAACGCUGGGGGCAUCCCUUACACAUACAAGUCGAACGGCAGCACGUGAGCAAUCCUGGUGGCGAGUGGCGAACGGGUGAGUAAUACAUCGGAACGUGUCCUGUAGUGGGGGAUAGCCCGGCGAAAGCCGGAUUAAUACCGCAUACGCUCUUCGGAGGAAAGCGGGGGAUCUUCGGACCUCUCGCUACAGGGGCGGCCGAUGGCAGAUUAGCUAGUUGUGGGGUAAAGCUCUACCAAGGCGACGAUCUGUAGCUGGUCUGAGAGGACGACCAGCCACACUGGGACUGAGACACGGCCCAGACUCCUACGGGAGGCAGCAGUGGGGAAUUUUGGACAAUGGGGGCAACCCUGAUCCAGCAAUGCCGCGUGUGUGAAGAAGGCCUUCGGGUUGUAAAGCACUUUUGUCCGGAAAGAAAUCCCUUGCCCUAAUACGGCGG